rnacentral:ncRNA from 1 species
GAUGGAAUCCUAGUUACGCAAUCUAGAUGAAUAUUUCAAGACAAAACCUAAGCAUAUUGAUUUUGGCGGUGACAUUGUUGGUGCUCUGAUCAAAUCCCCCUUGGUCGUGAGUUCUCUCUUCCUCUGUCUUUGUAUUAGGUUUGGGCUCUCUACGCCCUCCAACUAUAAGCUACUAUGAAUGGGUGUGGGAAUGGGUAGGGGGUGUUUAUUGUUGGGUUUUUUGUUUUGUGGAAUUUGAAUUUUUAUGGGUUAUAUAUAUAACCUUAUAAUAGUCUACUCAGAGCUAGUUCAAACAAGGAGAAUCUGACUAUUUAAUUAAAACAAAGAAUUGUGAUGGUCCCUGUGGAUGCUGGCACAAUGUGAUUUAUGCCCAGUGCUCUGAAUGUUAAAGUGAAUAAAUUCAACCAAGCACAGGUAAACAACGAGAGUAACUAUGACUCUCUUAAGGUAGCCAAGUGCCUCUCCAUCUAAUUAGUGAUGCACAUGAAUGGAUUAACUAGAUUCCCACUAUCCCUAUCUACUAUCUAGGAAAACCACAACCAAAGGAAUGGGCUUGGCAUAAUCAACAGAGAAAGAAGACCUUGUUGAGAUUGACUUAGUCUGACUUUGUGAAAUGAAUUGAGAGUUGUAGAAUAAGUGGGAAUCAUUUUCGGCACAAAUGAAAUACCACUACUUUUAACAUUGUUUUACUUAUAAUUUUGUGGGGCAGAGACGGGGUAGUUACCUUAUUUUUGGCCUUAAGUCAUGUUUCGAUGGGUCGAUCUGGGCAGAAGACAUUUCCAGGUGGGGAUUUUGGAUGGGGAAACACAUCUAUUAAAAGAUAUCAUAAAAUAUAAUUGGUGUAGAUAGAACAUUUGUAUUUGGGAGAUAUUAGUGCAAAACCACCCUUAUUACCUUUCCCUCCUAAUUUGUAGUUACAUCCAAUCAUUUCUAAAUUGAAUCUAGUUUCCUCACUUGCACAAUAUGGAUAGAUGUGUGAACCCUAUAUAUUAUUAAAUAUGUCAAAACCCCUAUCCAUGAGCAUAUGGUUACAUACAAAUGGAAAAAAAAAUGUGGAUACAAAAAUGCCACCCAUUCCUCCUCAGGGUCCUCCAUAGGAUCUUGUUGUAUCUCAUAAUGUUGCACACUCC